UGCUAGAGGAAGCCAAAGCCAAGGAC
rnacentral:piRNA from 1 species